GGACAUAGUUGUUACCAUCACAAGGAAGGUUGAGAACGGCCAGCUCCUGUCUACGAUGACCAUCAAUGGAGUUUCUGCUGUCAUCAAAUUCCAGAAGGCCUAGAACACACCCUGUACCUUCAUCAUUCUAAAUUAUUUGUCUGUCAAAUCUAUAUAUUACAUGCCAUUGUGGAUUCAUCCGAUGAAGAUUACUUUGCAUUUUCUGCAUAAUAUACAAUGAAAUAAAUGCGUAGAAGU
rnacentral:misc_RNA from 1 species